rnacentral:rRNA from 1 species
UACGUAGGAGGCGAGCGUUGUCCGGAAUUAUUGGGCGUAAAGAGCUCGUAGGCGGUUUGUCGCGUCUGCUGUGAAAACCCGAGGCUCAACCUCGGGCCUGCAGUGGGUACGGGCAGACUAGAGUGCGGUAGGGGAGAUUGGAAUUCCUGGUGUAGCGGUGGAAUGCGCAGAUAUCAGGAGGAACACCAAUGGCGAAGGCAGAUCUCUGGGCCGUAACUGACGCUGAGGAGCGAAAGCAUGGGGAGCGAACAGG